rnacentral:rRNA from 1 species
AUACGUAGGUGGCGAGCGUUGUCCGGAAUUACUGGGUGUAAAGGGCGUGUAGGCGGGAAUGUAAGUCAGAUGUGAAAUACCGUGGCUUAACCACGGGGCUGCAUCUGAAACUAUGUUUCUUGAGUGUCGGAGAGGAAAGUGGAAUUCCCAGUGUAGCGGCGAAAUGCAUAGAUAUUAGGAGGAACACCAGUGGCGAAGGCGACUUACUGGACUGUAACUGACGCUGAGGCUCGAAAGCGUGGGGAGC